GGGGCAUUAGCUCAUUUGGCUAGAGCGUUUGACUGGCAGUCAAGAGGUGAUGAGUUCGAAUCUCAUAUGCUCCA
rnacentral:tRNA from 1 species